UACGGAGGGUGCAAGCAUUAAUCGGAUUUAUUGGGCGUAAAGGGCGCGUAGGCGGGGAUGCAAGUCAGAUGUGAAAUCCCGGGGCUCAACCUCGGAACAGCAUUUGAAAACUACAUCUCUAGAGGGUAGGCGGAGAAAACGGAAUUCCACAAGUAGCGGUGAAAUGCGUAGAUAUGUGGAAGAACACCGGUGGCGAAGGCGGUUUUUCUAGCUUAUUCCUGACGCUAAAGCGCGAAAGCUAGGGGGGAGCGAACGGGAUU
rnacentral:rRNA from 1 species